AACAUCGCGCACCUGCGGGAACCUGCGGAGGGAUCAUCAUCGAAUUCAUAUGUAUCCCCCUCCUCUCCCGGAGGAGGGGGACCCAUGAUAAACCCUUCUGUGCACUGUAAACCGUUCACUUUGGCAGGCUUUGGUGGUGAGCGUGAGCUCACCUCCAACCUUGCGUUCCCUUCUUAAGGGCGUUACGCGUGGCGGCCUGCCGAAGUCCUUCCAUUAAAAACACGUUUUCGAACACGUCUG
rnacentral:misc_RNA from 1 species